rnacentral:rRNA from 2 species
CGACUCUUGGCAACGGAUAUCUCGGCUCACGCAUCGAUGAAGAACGUAGCAAAAUGCGAUACUUGGUGUGAAUUGCAGAAUCCCGUGAACCAUCGAGUUUUUGAACGCAAGUUGCGCCCGAAGCCAUUCGGUUGAGGGCACGUCUGCCUGGGCGUCACG